rnacentral:rRNA from 1 species
UACAGAGGUGGCGAGCGUUGUUCGGAUUUACUGGGCGUAAAGGGUGCGUAGGCGGUUCCGUGUGUCGAACGUGAAAUCCCACCGCUCAACGGUGGAAUGGCAUUCGAAACUACGGGGCUAGGGUGCAGGCAGGGAGAGCGGAAUUCCUGGUGUAGCGGUGAAAUGCGUUGAGAUCAGGAAGAACACCGGUGGCGAAGGCGGCUCUCUGGUAUGUAACCGACGCUGAGGCACGAAAGCGGGGGGAGCAAACAGGAUUAGAUACCCUGGUAGUCCCAGCCCUAAACGGUGUGCACUUGGUGUUGGCGGAAUUGCCCCCGCCAGUGCCGGAGCAAACGCGUUAAGUGCACCGCCUGGGGAGUACGGCCGCAAGGUUA